rnacentral:rRNA from 1 species
UACGAAGGGGGCUAGCGUUGUUCGGAAUUACUGGCCGUAAAGCGCGCGCAGGCGGCUAUCCAAGUCAGUGGUGAAAGCCCGGAGCUCAACUCCGGAACUGCCAUUGAAACUGUUUAGCUUGAGGAUGAGAGAGGUGAGUGGAAUUCCCAGUGUAGAGGUGAAAUUCGUAGAUAUUGGGAAGAACACCGGUGGCGAAGGCGGCUCACUGGCUCAUUACUGACGCUCAGGCGCGAUAGCGUGGGGAUCAAACAGG